CCCGCCAGACCUGACUGCUAUCGGAUUGAUACUAAGCCAUGCGAGUCGUUGUAGCAAUACAAGGCAUACGGCUCAGUAACGCGUAGUCAACCUAACCUAUGGACGGGAAUAACCUCGGGAAACUGAGAAUAAUGCCCGAUAGAACAUUAUGCCUGGAAUGGUUUAUGUUCCAAAUGAUUUAUCGCCAUAGGAUGGGACUGCGGCCUAUCAGUUUGUUGGUGAGGUAAUGGCCCACCAAGACUAUUACAGGUACGGGCUCUGAGAGGAGUAGCCCGGAGAUGGGUACUGAGACACGGACCCAGGCCCUAUGGGGCGCAGCAGGCGAGAAAACUUUGCAAUGUGCGAAAGCACGACAAGGUUAAUCCGAGUGAUUUCUGCUAAAGAGAUCUUUUGUUAGUCCUAGAAACACUAACGAAUAAGGGGUGGGCAAGUUCUGGUGUCAGCCGCCGCGGUAAAACCAGCACCUCAAGUGGUCAGGAUGAUUAUUGGGCCUAAAGCAUCCGUAGCCGGCUCUGUAAGUUUUCGGUUAAAUCUGUACGCUCAACGUACAGGCUGCCGGGAAUACUGCAGAACUAGGGAGUGGGAGAGGUAGACGGUACUCGGUAGGAAGUGGUAAAAUGCUUUGAUCUAUCGAUGACCACCUGUGGCGAAGGCGGUCUACCAGAACACGUCCGACGGUGAGGGAUGAAAGCUGGGGGAGCAAACCGGAUUAGAUACCCGGGUAGUCCCAGCUGUAAACUAUGCAAACUCAGUGAUGCAUUGGCUUGUGGCCAAUGCAGUGCUGCAGGGAAGCCGUUAAGUUUGCCGCCUGGGAAGUACGUACGCAAGUAUGAAACUUAAAGGAAUUGGCGGGGGAGCACCACAAGGGGUGAAGCCUGCGGUUCAAUUGGAUUCAACGCCGGAA
rnacentral:rRNA from 1 species